rnacentral:tRNA from 1 species
GGGGCUGUGGCUUAGUGAUAAAGCAUCUGCUUUGCCUGCAGAAGGUCCCAGGUUCGGUUCCCAGCAUCUCCA